UUGAAAGGGAAACGAUUGAAGUCAGUCAUGCUAAUAGGGAAUCAACUUGAUGGGUCGUUCCCCCGGGAGCAAUCUUUCUUGUGCACUUCCUUGUUUGGCAGGUUAGCAUCAAUUUCGGUUGUCAUCAAAAAAUUGAGGGAAUGUGACUUCUUUCGGGAAGUGUUAUAGACCUUAGUAUAUGUGAUGACCGGGAUUGAGGAUUGCAGCGGAUGCUUUUGGGCUAGUCACCUACCUUCUGACGGUUACCCUGCUUUCGAUAGCUUGCUAACGAUUGUGGGAUUUAACAGUCUAGAUGUUAGAGUGAUCUUAUAUUCGUUAAGGAUGUUGACGUA
rnacentral:rRNA from 1 species